rnacentral:rRNA from 1 species
CAAUAGCGUAUAUUAAAGUUGUUGCAGUUAAAAGCUCGUAGUUGGAUUUCUGGUCUGAUGCCCUGGCCCGCGCCUUAUAGGUGUGUGUGCCGGCUGUGCGUCUACCAUCCUUCUAGUAACCCUUCCUACCCUUCACUGGGCCGGGUUGGCGAUCUAGAUCUUUUACUUUGAAAAAUUAGAGUGUUUAAAGCAGGCUUUUGCUAUGAAUACAUUAGCAUGGAAUAAUAAUCUAGGACUUCGGUUCUAUUUUGUUGGUUUCUAGUACUGAAGUAAUGAUUGAUAGGGAUAGUUGGGGGGUGGCUAGUAUUGAGCGGCCAGAGGUGAAAUUCUUGGAUUCGCUCAAGACUAACUUAUGCGAAAGCAUUCACCAAAGGGAUUGUCUUCUUUAAUCAAGAAUCGAAAGUUGGGGGGAUCAGAAUGGACGAUCAGAUACC